GCCUCGGCGCGCCUCGAGGCCCCGCUGCUCCGGCGCGACCGCCGCGUCUGCACCGCGGUGAUCAGUUUGAAACACCCGCUUUUUUCUUUCCCCGUUUCCUCUCUACUUCUCGAUUCUGUCCUUGUUUGGGCAUCGGUGGGGGGCGGGCAACCUCCUAGGACCCGCGUCGUUGGUGGCUCCCCUCCAUGGGGCUAACUCCAGAGGUAGGACCCCGGCAGGGAAAGAAAGCAGGAUAAAAAUGAGAACUAGAAUUUCAUUCCCCUCAAAGUCGAAGGACCCACUCUCGUAACUCCUCUUUGGGACACCCGCUCGCCUCUCAGCACCAGCAGGAAGGGCGGGGAGAGCGCGCAGCUCCGCUUCGGAGCCCUUGCCGCGGAGGCUGGCUGGCUCGCACCGACGCAGGACACCACCCUCGGGAACGGGCUAGGGGUCGGAGGAAGCCCGCCCUGUGGCGGCUGGGCCGCGCGGGACGGACUUUUGACCCAAGCCCCGUUCGUUUUCAAAGAAGGAGGGCGCUUAUCCGAAAUUUGCAUUCGCAUGGCGGUUCAGGGCCCUUCACUUUAAGCUAAGCUCCACCCGAAAUUGCCAAGUGAAUUUGGUAGAUUUGGGACCCUAAGUUGGAAACCGAGAUACGAAAGUGUGCUCCAAUCAAUCUUUACUUUUCCCAGAGGACACCUAUUUGGGAAAUUCACAGACCCUCAAACCCUGUCUACGAAUCCCCAGUUAAUCAUAUCUACUUGUAGAGAAGAGAAAUGCAACAACCCGAGGAAGACAAUUUAAAAGACUUGUUGCUGUGAGGGAGACCAACUCUAAAUCAUCAUGCCCUGCUUGCAAAUGAGAAAAGCAGGGCACAAGAUCGGCCCAGAACCGGCUUGAGGAGGUAUACCUAACUCAGGACCUACUUGCCAGAAGUAUUUAGAAAUUACCUCACUUAAUCUUCACAACAACCCCCUGGGGAAGGUUCUACAGCUCCAUCUUACAGAUGAGAAAAAUCGAAACCCAGAGAAGGUCCUGACCUCCUACGGCUGGUAGGGGUGCCCCCAUAACCAAUCCACCCUUGAGUCUUUACUCUCCAAUGGCCAAGAAGCCAGUCCCUGGAAGACAACAUUACCCUUCUACCUCAGAUUAAUGUUUAGUGCUUCCCAGCAGGUAUCCUCAAGUCAUUGAUGUUAAGUGUCACCCAGGUAACUUGUUAGACUGUCCCUUCCCUGGCCCCACCCUAGAAUUACUGAGACUGGAAGGGACCCAAGAAGAUACCCUUCCAAUAAGCUCCCAGUUGAUUCUGAUGCACAUUAAAGUUUGAGAGUCAUUGUUUUAUGUUGUUCCUCCAUGGUUUCUGAAUUAUCCUUGUUUGUUUGCCAGACCUUUGCUUUGUUCCUUCCUGGCUGACUACUGGCUGUCCUUCUGCGCUGGUUACUCUUGUGCUUUUGAUCAUCCCUGUC